rnacentral:rRNA from 1 species
GAAAAGCACUCUGAAGAGAGAGUCAAAAGACCGUGAAACCGCUCAGAGUAUAAGCCCAUGGAGCUUGGAUGGCUUCCGCAGACAGGUGCAUCAUACGUGGUGCAUCCACAGGCAACAGUGUGGUUCGUCAGGUAGGAGCCUCGAGUGGCCACCGCCGACGUGCGGGGUUCGGCCGCGGGUCCUUGUCGGGGCUCGCGGUUGUUCCUUAUGAAUGGAUGUUCAGAGCUGUUGUUCUAAUGCGGGUUGGCCCACCACAGCACGUUGUGAGGUCACCCACAGGCUCAGACUGUCGAUCGCGUACCCAGGACGAUGGCUCAGAUGCGUGUAAGACAAUGCACUCCCUCCUCAGCCGGAGGAGAGGGGGGCCUACGCGCGCCUAGUCCUGGGUCGGGCGGCGACCGAGUUAAAAACCUGGUAUGAUCCUCGUGCGACGAGCUGCUUUCUGGCCAGACCGGCGUCCCGGCCAUCUCCCWGUGCCGGAGGUGGUCGACACCCAGGCGGUUUGACCCUCUGUAUGAGCUACAUCAACAAGGUCUCUCAGCCGGGCGCUGGUCUGAGUGGUGUAAUGUCCAGCACCAUCGGUCACGUCUCGAAACACGGGCCAAGGAGUAUAGCAUGUGUGCGAGUCUAAGGGUCUCACAAAACCCGAAGGCGAAGUGAAAGCAAGACUGUGACGGGCGAGCUACGGCGAACCCGUCAGCCUAGGUGGCGCACUUGUGUGCUGCCAGGCUUUCAGCAGAGCUGAUCCUGUUCUCGGUUGAUUCUUGGUGCAGGCGCAAGCUCCGGGCUCACGAACACACCGGUCACACCUCGUGUGGCUGUGUUGUGAGCACCGCUGAGCAUGCAUGCUAUGACCCGAAAGAUAGUGAACUAUGCCUGGCGAGGGCGAAGCCCCAGGAAACUGGGGUGGAGGCCCGUAGCCGUUGUGACGUGCAAAUCCAUGGUAUCAGCUGGGCAUAGGGGCGAAAGACCAAUCGAACUAUCUAGUAGCU